rnacentral:lncRNA from 1 species
GUACUUAUGGUGGCUCGGUGACCUCACAAUCCCGCUGUGACCUCACAGAGGAGCUGCCGGAGCCCCGGCUGCCCCGCCCAGAAGGGCCAGUUCCAUGGAGGACAUGCGUGGGCCAACCUGUCCCUGCACCCCCAAAUUUUCUGGGACCACGUUCUGACGGCCCCCCGUAUUCCAGAUUCCAUCCCGUUGUGACAAACGCUCGCUCACAAAUAGAAUGUACAGAGGACAAAGUCUCGAAGCAAAGAUUAAAACAUUAUGUAAACACAACUAUCAAGACAACUGAGUUGGUACACCCUGUUCUUUCUCUCUGUCUCCUUGGGCAUUCUCUUCUAAAAUGUCCUUCCCUCCCACAGUAGAAACACCUCUUGCGGCCCACUUGCCACCCGGGUGGGGUCCUAAAGCCCCCACGUCCCGGUUCAUAACUGGGGCCUUGACCAUAAUUUGGCAACCCCUCUCUUUCUCCCUCUCUCUCCAGUUGCCACUUCAUCACCUUAUUCUGCUGUGGCUACCAUCAAUUUGGUUUGAGCUUUCUGUUUCUUGUCAUCCCUUCUGACAUACACUUUUGGGCCUCCCGCAACAGAUUGUUUAGAUCCCAGUCAUGCCAAUCUUCCAGCUUUCCCAACUUUUUCUUUGUAAUGGGCCAGGCCUUUGUAACUGAACAGACUUUCAACACCUCUCGCCCUGCAUCACUCCCAGGAUCUGGUCCUGGGUAUUGUUGCAUAUUUUUCCUCAGUCUUUCCAGCCAAUCUGCAGGGGGUUCAUCCUUCUGUUGUCUUCAGAGCAGUGACCAGGGGGGCAGCAGAAUUCCCCAAGGAGCUCCGGAGUGACCUUGGGCUGGCGGCCAGAGCCAGAGGUAGGGUGCCGAGGCUGGUGGUCAGGCUGCCCACCCCGUGGGGUGCGGGGUGUCCUGGAGGAGCCCCCUGAGGUGCCUGAAGACUGGAGGAAGGCCAACAUCACUCCAGUCUUCAAAAAGGGCAAGAAGGAGGACCCUGGGAACUACAGACCAGUUAGUCUCAGCUCCAUCCCUGGAAAGGUAGUGGAGAGACUGAUUCUAAAUGUCAUCUCCAAACCAGUAGAAGAACAGGGGGUUAUUGGAAGUGGGCAACAUGGGUUUACCAAGGGUAAAUCAUGUUUAACCAAUCUGAUAGCUUUCUAUGGUGCUGGUUGGUUGGAUGAAGGGAGGGCAGCAGAUGUCAUGUACCUUGACUUCAGCAAGGCUUUUGACACCGUCUCCUAUAACAUCCUCAUUGGGAAACUAAGGACGUGUGGGCUGGAUGAGGGGAUAGUGAGGUGGACUGAGAACUGGCUGUGUGACAGGACCCAAAGGGUAAUGAUUAAUGGAGUGGGGUCAAGCUGGAGACUUGUAACCAGUGGUGUCCCGCAGGGGUCAAUACUUGGUCCAGUGCUGUUCAACAUAUUCAUCAGUGACCUGGACGAGGGGACAGAGUGUAUCCUCAGCAAGGUCGCUGAUGAUACCAAACUGGGAGGGGUGGCUGACACCCCGGGAGGGCCAUGCUGCCAUCCAGAGAGACCUGGACAGGCUGGAGAGCUGGGCAAGGAAGAACCUCAUGAGGUUCAACA